AAAAAAAGUGGGUUCAUUUGUUGUGUGUGGAAAAAAAGUGAUAUGGGACAGACUCUUCCCUUCUAAACCGAAACUCCUCGGUUGUACAUGAUGUUGUUGUGGUCAUUCAUAAAAUUUACCCAAAAUUUCGAGCAUCUCGGCAUGACUAUUCUACUACUCCAUUCAGAAUUUGAACAAAUUCAGACAAAGAACGCAUGUUCCGUCACGUUCGGGCCAGUAUUUUAGUAUUUUUUCAUAGGUAAGAACAUAGAAAAUUCUUAAAAUGUUAAAGCUCGAUGAAACUUGAAAUUCUUAAAAUGUCAAAGCUCGAUGAAACUUGGCAUGGAUGCAUGCCAUGAUGGUUCUAGUGUGUGGAAAUUGUUAGGUCUCUUUGAUGUAUGUGAAAAAAAGUGAUAUGAGACGGACUCUUCCGCCUCAAGGAAACCCCUCCGUUGUACAUGAUGUAGUUGUGGACAUUCAUAAAAUUUACUGAAAUAUUGCUAGAAGUUGGACAUGGUCAUUCUAGUACUCCAUGCAAAUAUUGAACGAAUUUGGACACCGAAUGCACAUUGUGUCACACUCGGCCAGUAUUUAAAGUUUUCAUUCGGAAAACAGUAGAAAAUGUAUAAAAUGUCAAAAUUCAAUGAAACAUAGCAUGGAU
rnacentral:lncRNA from 1 species